rnacentral:lncRNA from 1 species
GGUGGUUUUCCAUUUAUCUUUUGCUGUCAUAUAACUCUUGCAAAUCCGAGAAUACUUGCACUCACAUUUUGAUGUUCUUCUUGUGAACUUUUGACACCUCUUGGCGGGCAAAUGCAAGAAACUCUCGAUUUAUCCCCAAAAAAGAAAGUUCUGCACGUGAAUUGAGUUUGACAACUGCAGGACGUACAUAUGGACAAGCAAUGCCAAUGGUGCAUUUUAUUUGCAUAUUACCAAUUCAUCUUCAAUCUGCUGUAUAAUGUUCAUAGGGUUCUCUUCUUUGUCUGUCUUAAUUUUUUCCCGCGCAUGUCUGCCUGACAACAUUAGUGAAAACAACCAGUGACCUUUGUUUAUCAAUUAAUCAUGUGAGUAUUGUGCAUUUGUGAUUUCAGAUGCUAAAUUCUUGGAUACAUAAUGUUGACUCUUUCCCCAUAUGGCUGGUAAUAAUUUUACAUGAGUCAUGAUCCAGGUUCUGGUUAUCUGCCCAAAUAUUUUUCUCUCUUAUUAGAAAACGUUAUUGUGGAUUUACUGCUAUCUGAUUCCCGGACUUCUUGUUGGAUUUGGUGCAAGAAGGCUAAUCUCUUCUGGCACUUGAUCUAAUACUAUGAAUAUUUUAUCAUAGAAGAUAAACUUUUUUAAUGAUAAAUGGUUUAUGUUUUAUUUCUGCAGCACUUCAAGAAGAUAAACAGUUCACAGCCAAAAUUAGUUUAGUUGGCUGUUGCUGUUAGUUGUUACUCACUUGUUAAAUCUAGCAUGUUUCACAGUUUUUCUUUCUAAACUUUCACAUCUUUUUUCUUAUUUUCUUUCUUUCAAAUUGAUUGGUGUUUCUAGUGUAAUGACUGCUGUUAUUCUGGCAGAAAUUGUCUAGGCCAAUGCUAUUGCUCUCAAUUGCAACAGUUUUCUCUGAUCAGUCAUCAUCUAUAGAAGAAACGACACCAAAUGACUAUCAUGAUUCUCGAGCAUAUCCACAAGCUAGGUAGGUGUACUGUUGUAGGCAUGUUUCUUUUAGAAGAAACGACACCAAAUGACUCUCAUGAUUCUCGAGCAUAUCCACAAGCUAGGUAGGUGUACUGUUGUAGGCAUGUUUCUUUGGAAGUCUUUUGUUUCCUGGAGUAGUGCAGUUGUCAAAUGGAUAUAAGGAUAUGGUUAUAGAAGUGUUCAUGUCCAAUUCAGAUGCUUCUAUUUUUGUUUCUUUUUCCGUUGUUUGGUGCUUACAAUGAUUCUGAGCACAGCUAAAGGACUUCUUCAUCGGAUGACUUCUCAUAUGAUUAUUUUCGUGAAUUCGAAGUGGAAGAAUUCACCUUUUAAGUACUGAGCUAAGGGCAACAUUGUCUCAAUUUUGGAAUGUUUCAAAAUGUUUGAUGCCAUCCCACUAAUAAUAUUCUAUUCAACUUUCAUACUUAUUUUCAUAAAUUUAAAUUCAUAUAACUAUUAUAAUUUUAGACAUGUUUUCUCUGUCAUUCUGAUUUGACAAGAGUGGUUGCUCUGAUGGUAAGCAACCCCCACUUCCAACC